CNUUGCGAGAUAAGCCAUGCAUGUCUAGUACAUGCCGUAUUAAGGCGAAACCGCGAAUGGCUCAUUAAAUCAGUUAUGGUUCCUUGGAUCGUACCUCACUACUUGGAUAACUGUGGCAAUUCUAGAGCUAAUACAUGCAGCAGAGCUCCGACCUUCGGGGACGAGCGCUUUUAUUAGACCAAAACCAAUCGGACCUCGCGUCCGUUUCUCGUGGUGACUCUGUAUAACUUUGGGCUGAUCGCACGGGCCCGUCCCGGCGACGUAUCUUUCAAGUGUCUGCCUUAUCAACUUUCGAUGGUAGGUUACGCGCCUACCAUGGUCGUAACGGGUAACGGGGAAUCAGGGUUCGAUUCCGGAGAGGGAGCCUGAGAAACGGCUACCACAUCCAAGGAAGGCAGCAGGCGCGCAAAUUACCCACUCCCGGCACGGGGAGGUAGUGACGAAAAAUAACAAUACGGGACUCUUUUGAGACCCCGUAAUUGGAAUGAGUACACUCUAAAUCCUUUAACGAGGAUCCAUUGGAGGGCAAGUCUGGUGCCAGCAGCUGCGGUAAUUCCAGCUCCAAUAGCGUAUAUUAAAGUUGUUGCGGUUAAAAAGCUCGUAGUUGGAUCUCAGUUCCAGACGCGCGGUCCGCCUCACCGGCGGUCACUGCGCGUUCUGAACAGCCAGCCGGUUCUCCCCGAUGAUCUUCACCGGUUGUCCCGGGGGACCGGCAAGUUUACUUUGAAAAAAUUAGAGUGCUCAAAGCAGGCGCGACGCCUGAAUAAUGGUGCAUGGAAUAAUGGAAUAGGACCUCGGUUCUAUUUUGUUGGUUUUCGGAACACGAGGUAAUGAUUAAGAGGGACAGACGGGGGCAUUCGUAUUGCGACGCUAGAGGUGAAAUUCUUGGACCGUCGCAAGACNACUNCUGCNAAGNUUUUUUUCCCAAAAAA
rnacentral:rRNA from 1 species